UACGGGGGGAGCAAGCGUUGUUCGGAUUUACUGGGCGUAAAGGGCGGGUAGGCGGCCACUGCAAGUCGGUUGUGAAAUCUCCGGGCUUAACUCGGAAAGGUCAAUCGAUACUGCAGGGCUAGAGUGCAGAAGGGGCAACUGGAAUUCUCGGUGUAGCGGUGAAAUGCGCAGAUAUCGGGAGGAACACCAAUGGCGAAGGCAGCUCGCUGGGACGGUACUGACGCUGAGACGCGAAAGCGUGGGGAGCAAACAGG
rnacentral:rRNA from 1 species